rnacentral:rRNA from 2 species
CAGGUGCUGCAUGGCUGUCGUCAGCUCGUGUCGUGAGAUGUUGGGUUAAAUCCCGCAACGAGCGCAACCCUCGCUCUUAGUUGCCAUCAUUCAGUUGGGCACUCUAAGGGGACUGCCGGUGAUAAGCUGGAGGAAGGUGGGGAUGACGUCAAGUCCUCAUGGCCCUUACGGGCUGGGCUACACACGUGCUACAAUGGUGGUGACAGUGGGCAGCGAGACCGCGAGGUUGAGCUAAUCUCCAAAAACCAUCUCAGUUCGGAUUGCACUCUGCAACUCGGGUGCAUGAAGUUGGAAUCGCUAGUAAUCGUGGAUCAGCAUGCCACGGUGAAUACGUUCCCGGGCCUUGUACACACCGCCCGUCACACCAUGGGAGUUGGCUUACCCGAAGGUGCUGUG